rnacentral:rRNA from 1 species
GUGGGGAAUCUUCCGCAAUGGACGAAAGUCUGACGGAGCAACGCCGCGUGAGUGAAGAAGGUUUUCGGAUCGUAAAGCUCUUUCGUUAGGGACGAACGUGCUCUUUGUGAAUAAUGAGGAGUAAUGACGGUACCUAAAUAAGAAGCCACGGCUAACUACGUGCCAGCAGCCGCGGUAAUACGUAGGUGGCAAGCGUUGUCCGGAAUUAUUGGGCGUAAAGCGCGCGCAGGCGGGAUAUCAAGUCUGUCUUAAAAGUGCGAGGCUCAACCUCGUGAGGGAACAGAAACUGGUAUUCUUGAGUGUCGGAGAGGAAAGUGGAAUUCCAAGUGUAGCGGUGAAAUGCGUAGAGAUUUGGAAGAACACCAGUGGCGAAGGCGACUUUCUGGACGAUGUCUGACGCUGAGGCGCGAAAGCUAGGGGAGCGAACGGGAUUAGAUACCCUGGUAGUCC